AUCUAUGGCCAUACCACCCGGAACGCGCCCAUCUCGUCUGAUCUCGGAAGCUAAGCAGGGUCGGGCCUGGUUAAUACUUGGAUGGUAGAAAUAAAUG
ensembl:rRNA 5S_rRNA 5S ribosomal RNA